GAUGAACGCUAGCGGGAGGCUUAACACAUGCAAGUCGAGGGGUAAAUGGCAGCAAUGCUAUGAGACCGGCGGACGGGUGCGUAACGCGUAUGCAACAUACCUUGUGCAGGGGGAUAGCCCGUGGAAACGCGGAUUAAUAUUCCAUAGAUCAGUAAUAUCGCAUGGUAUAACUGGUAAAGUUAAGGCGGCACAAGAUUGGCAUGCGUCUGAUUAGCUAGUUGGUAGGGUAACGGCCUACCAAGGCGACGAUCAGUAGGGGUUCUGAGAGGAUUAACCCCCACACUGGUACUGAGACACGGACCAGACUCCUACGGGAGGCAGCAGUGAGGAAUAUUGGUCAAUGGGCGCAAGCCUGAACCAGCCAUCCCGCGUGAAGGAAGAAGGCCCUACGGGUUGUAAACUUCUUUUCUGUUUGAAGAAUAAGCCCGUCGUGACGGGUGAUGCCGGUAGGACAGGAAUAAGCAUCGGCUAACUCCGUGCCAGCAGCCCGCGGUAAACUGU
rnacentral:rRNA from 1 species